rnacentral:rRNA from 1 species
UACGAAGGGAGCUAGCGUUGUUCGGAAUUACUGGGCGUAAAGGGCGCGUAGGCGGUUCGACAAGUUGGAUGUGAAAGCCCAGGGCUCAACCCUGGAAUUGCAUUCAAGACUGUCUUACUUGAAUUCGGUAGAGGUUGGUGGAAUUCCCAGUGUAGAGGUGAAAUUCGUAGAGAUUGGGAAGAACACCCGUGGCGAAGGCGGCCAACUGGACCGACAUUGACGCCUGAGGCGCGAAAGCGUGGGGAUCAAACAGG